AUAAUGAUACUCCCGCAUUGGACGCCCUCAAAGCAUCGUGCGGCGCACCCAUCAGCAUGGGCCGGGGUGAGAUUCCCGUGA
rfam:Oscillibacter sp. CAG:241 genomic scaffold, scf33